GCAACUUUCCCGCCCACGCGCCCCCUCAGGUGUGCGGCCCCGCCCCGCGCGUGCGCACCUUUCCCGCCCACGCGCCCCCUCAGGUGUGCGGCUCCGCCCCGCGCGUGCGCACCUUUCCCGCCCCGCCCCUCCUCGCGCGCUUCUUGAGGCGCCGCCGCGGUUCUCACAGCGAUCGUUCCUGAAGUUCUGGUGGGCACCCAGCAAGCUGGACAGCUGAGAGAGCGUCAACAUCUUUAGCUUCAUGGUCAUCAAAUACCGCUCCACUUUUAGGUGUUCACUCUGGCUGCCAGAACCUCUCUGCAGCGACUUGGCCUCUGUGGAGCUGCCUGGAAGUCAUCUCUCUUUGCUCCGACCACGGCUGGCACACCAGGGUGCUGUGUUCUCGCCCGUGUACAGACGCUGCCUCACCACACAUCAACAGGAGGUCAGGCACCCAAGCUGUCCUAUUUGAAGGACUGUGCACCCAACAUGGUAUUUUCCUUGCUGGAGAAGCCAGGAGACCUGCAGGAGCUGGAAGGCGUUUUCUGCUGCAGCAUUUGGGUUUUGGGAAGCUGCCUGGUGCAGUCCAGAGCUCUCAGCCCUGGCACAGCCCUGGCUUGGGAGGCAGGCCAUGUCAGCAAAGGACGUUGUUGCUGUUGAUGGUUGGCACCGAAUCUUCGUGAAUGAUGUAUUUGUAAGUCAGGCUGGAUCUCGUGUCAUUCUCCCGAGGGAUGAUCUAUUAAUAAUCAAAGUAACUUUUCCUGCUCCACCUGCAAGGUGUACAACCCAGGCUCUGCCCAGCGCAUGAGGAGCUCACUGAAAAGCCGCUAAGAUCCGUGGAGGAUCUCACCCUUCUCCUGACAGCUGAAAAUCCCUUGGGCGUUGGAAACUGGCCCUUCAGCACAACUGCCCUGUGCUUCUAGUCAUGCCUCAAAGCCAAACCUGAGGAAACACUUACCAAGAAAGUGAGGAGAAGCCUCGUCUUCUUGGAUAAACACAUGUCGAGCACCAGGAGGGAUGUCAAACAUCUUAAGAUCCCACGGAGCUGUUCAGCUCCUCCUCUGCCUCCCCGACACCAAUGUGCUGACCGAGCCUUUCUCGCUGCAGCGGCUGCCUCGGACGUACCGCUGUGCACAUCUUGUAGCCAACACCAAAGUCGAAGCGGCACUGUUCAUCCAUGGAGUAAUUGAUGCCUGGCAGUUCGGGAAGCUUGGGCCAAUCAUGUUCAAAGGGGUCAUCAAGAAGACAGUCGUAAGAGCUGGGAAAAGAUACACGGAGAAGAAGUCAUCAGAAGAUGCAGUAACUUAUUUUGGUCAGCAAGAUGGAGGACAUGUGGGGUCAAUUCAUGAAGCUUUCACUCGGCACUGACUGGCAACCCCCACUACAUGCUACGGAGACAAAGCCUGAGGAACAGUUGGAUGAAGACGCACACACGUGGAGGGAGACCAGAGCGGGCAGGCACUAGCCAAGAACCACCGAGUCCAGAUAGCUUUGCUCCAGGACAGCUGCAUUACCUUGCAUACCAGCAGGCCCAAAAUCUUGCCUGGUUAAGAAGAUGGCAUGGUCGUGGUGCUCGGAGUGACCGGGAUCUGACUUCUGCUGCUGGUAGGCCCAGCGGCAUACGUUCUCCAGGCUUCUCGACGGGUUUCCCCUUUCGAUCAAGCUGAUGGACUGAAAGAGCAACACAUUAGACCCAUGAACUCCUACAGGUUUCAAACAGGGAGAGGAACGGGAUGUAAUGAGAGACAACAGAACACAAAAGCGCUCGCUGCAAAGUGCCCGAGAGCAGAAAAUGCAUAAGAACAACUGUUGGCACAAGCAUCCGGACUGACCACACAGGAAGGACUGGAGCCCGGAUUCACCACGUGUGUCCUUUGUGUUGGCCGCCCCUCCUGCAGCAGACGCCAUGUGCUG